rnacentral:rRNA from 1 species
GUGAGGAAUAUUGGUCAAUGGACGAGAGUCUGAACCAGCCAAGUCGCGUGAAGGAAGACGGUUCUAUGAAUUGUAAACUUCUUUUGUGCAGGAAUAAAGUGGGUUACGUGUAACCUUUUGUAUGUACUGUACGAAUAAGGAUCGGCUAACUCCGUGCCAGCAGCCGCGGUAAUACGGAGGAUCCGAGCGUUAUCCGAAUUUAUUGGGUUUAAAGGGUGCGUAGGUGGAUUGAUAAGUCAGCGGUGAAAGUUUGCAGCUUAACUGUAAAAUUGCCGUUGAAACUGUCGGUCUUGAGUGCAAAUGAGGUAGGCGGAAUGUGUUGUGUAGCGGUGAAAUGCUUAGAUAUAACACAGAACUCCGAUUGCGAAGGCAGCUUACUGGGAUGCAACUGACACUGAUGCACGAAAGCGUGGGUAUCAAACAGGAUUAGAAACCCCGGUAGUCC